GGGUUGUGAGGUUAAGCGACUAAGCGUACACGGUGGAUGCCCUGGCAGUCAGAGGCGAUGAAGGACGUGCUAAUCUGCGAAAAGCGUCGGUAAGGUGAUAUGAACCGUUAUAACCGGCGAUGUCCGAAUGGGGAAACCCAGUGCAAUUCGUUGCACUAUCGUUAACUGAAUACAUAGGUUAACGAGGCGAACCGGGGGAACUGAAACAUCUAAGUACCCGAGGAAAAGAAAUCAACCGAGAUUCCCCCAGUAGCGGCGAGCGAACGGGGAGCAGCCCAGAGUCUGAAUCAGCUUGUGUGUUAGUGGAACGGUCUGGAAAGUCCGACGGUACAGGGUGAUAGUCCCGUACACCAAAAUGCACAGGUUGUGAACUCGAAGAGUAGGGCGGGACACGUGGUAUCCUGUCUGAAUAUGGGGGGACCAUCCUCCAAGGCUAAAUACUCCUGACUGACCGAUAGUGAACCAGUACCGUGAGGGAAAGGCGAAAAGAACCCCGGCGAGGGGAGUGAAAAAGAACCUGAAACCGUGUACGUACAAGCAGUGGGAGCACCUUCGGGUGUGACUGCGUACCUUUUGUAUAAUGGGUCAGCGACUUAUAUUCUGUAGCAAGGUUAACCGUAUAGGGGAGCCGCAGGGAAACCGAGUCUUAACUGGGCGUUAAGUUGCAGGGUAUAGACCCGAAACCCGGUGAUCUAGCCAUGGGCAGGUUGAAGGUUGGGUAACACUAACUGGAGGACCGAACCGACUAAUGUUGAAAAAUUAGCGGAUGACUUGUGGCUGGGGGUGAAAGGCCAAUCAAACCGGGAGAUAGCUGGUUCUCCCCGAAAGCUAUUUAGGUAGCGCCUCGUGAAUUCAUCUUCGGGGGUAGAGCACUGUUUCGGCUAGGGGGUCAUCCCGACUUACCAACCCGAUGCAAACUACGAAUACCGAAGAAUGUUAUCACGGGAGACACACGGCGGGUGCUAACGUCCGUCGUGAAGAGGGAAACAACCCAGACCGCCAGCUAAGGUCCCAAAGUCAUGGUUAAGUGGGAAACGAUGUGGGAAGGCACAGACAGCCAGGAUGUUGGCUUAGAAGCAGCCAUCAUUUAAAGAAAGCGUAAUAGCUCACUGGUCGAGUCGGCCUGCGCGGAAGAUGUAACGGGGCUAAACCAUGCACCGAAGCUGCGGCAGCGACACUAUGUGUUGUUGGGUAGGGGAGCGUUCUGUAAGCCUGCGAAGGUGACCUGUGAGGGUUGCUGGAGGUAUCAGAAGUGCGAAUGCUGACAUAAGUAACGAUAAAGCGGGUGAAAAGCCCGCUCGCCGGAAGACCAAGGGUUCCUGUCCAACGUUAAUCGGGGCAGGGUGAGUCGACCCCUAAGGCGAGGCCGAAAGGCGUAGUCGAUGGGAAACAGGUUAAUAUUCCUGUACUUGGUGUUACUGCGAAGGGGGGACGGAGAAGGCUAUGUUAGCCGGGCGACGGUUGUCCCGGUUUAAGCAUGUAGGCUGGUUAUCCAGGCAAAUCCGGAUAAUCAAGGCUGAGGUGUGAUGACGAGGCACUACGGUGCUGAAGUAACAAAUGCCCUGCUUCCAGGAAAAGCCUCUAAGCAUCAGGUAACAUCAAAUCGUACCCCAAACCGACACAGGUGGUCAGGUAGAGAAUACCAAGGCGCUUGAGAGAACUCGGGUGAAGGAACUAGGCAAAAUGGUGCCGUAACUUCGGGAGAAGGCACGCUGGUGUGUAGGUGAAGCCCCUGCGGGUGGAGCUGAGACCAGUCGAAGAUACCAGCUGGCUGCAACUGUUUAUUAAAAACACAGCACUGUGCAAACACGAAAGUGGACGUAUACGGUGUGACGCCUGCCCGGUGCCGGAAGGUUAAUUGAUGGGGUUAUCCGUAAGGAGAAGCUCUUGAUCGAAGCCCCGGUAAACGGCGGCCGUAACUAUAACGGUCCUAAGGUAGCGAAAUUCCUUGUCGGGUAAGUUCCGACCUGCACGAAUGGCGUAAUGAUGGCCAGGCUGUCUCCACCCGAGACUCAGUGAAAUUGAACUCGCUGUGAAGAUGCAGUGUACCCGCGGCAAGACGGAAAGACCCCGUGAACCUUUACUAUAGCUUGACACUGAACAUUGAGCCUUGAUGUGUAGGAUAGGUGGGAGGCUUUGAAGCGUGGACGCCAGUCUGCGUGGAGCCAACCUUGAAAUACCACCCUUUAAUGUUUGAUGUUCUAACGUUGGCCCCUGACCGGGGUUGCGGACAGUGUCUGGUGGGUAGUUUGACUGGGGCGGUCUCCUCCCAAAGCGUAACGGAGGAGCACGAAGGUUAGCUAAUCCUGGUCGGACAUCAGGAGGUUAGUGCAAUGGCAUAAGCUAGCUUGACUGCGAGCGUGACGGCGCGAGCAGGUGCGAAAGCAGGUCAUAGUGAUCCGGUGGUUCUGAAUGGAAGGGCCAUCGCUCAACGGAUAAAAGGUACUCCGGGGAUAACAGGCUGAUACCGCCCAAGAGUUCAUAUCGACGGCGGUGUUUGGCACCUCGAUGUCGGCUCAUCACAUCCUGGGGCUGAAGUAGGUCCCAAGGGUAUGGCUGUUCGCCAUUUAAAGUGGUACGCGAGCUGGGUUUAGAACGUCGUGAGACAGUUCGGUCCCUAUCUGCCGUGGGCGCUGGAGAAUUGAGGGGGGCUGCUCCUAGUACGAGAGGACCGGAGUGGACGCAUCACUGGUGUUCGGGUUGUCAUGCCAAUGGCACUGCCCGGUAGCUAAAUGCGGAAGAGAUAAGUGCUGAAAGCAUCUAAGCACGAAACUUGCCCCGAGAUGAGUUCUCCCUGAGACUUUAAGUCUCCUGAAGGAACGUUAAAGACGAUGACGUUGAUAGGCCGGGUGUGUAAGCGCAGCGAUGCGUUGAGCUAACCGGUACUAAUGAACCGUGAGGCUUAACCUUACAACGCCGAAG
rnacentral:rRNA from 1 species